AGGUGCGAUCAUACUAGCGUUAAUGCACCGGAUCCCAUCAGAACUCCGCAGUUAAGCACGCUU
rfam:Picea glauca, whole genome shotgun sequence.